CGGCGACGCCGAGCGGAACCCGAAAAGCCGCUCAGUUCGGAUUGGAGUCUGCAACCCGACUCCAUGAAGCUGGAUUCGCUAGUAAUCGCGCAUCAGCCACGGCGCGGUGAAUACGUUCCCGGGCCUUGUACACACCGCCCGUCAAGCCAUGGGAGCCGGGAGUGCCUGAAGUACGUGACCGCAAGGAGCGUCCUAGGGUAAGACCGGUGACUGGGGCUAAGUCGUAACAAGGUAUC
rnacentral:rRNA from 1 species